rnacentral:lncRNA from 1 species
UCCAAUUUAGAGCAUAAUUAGUUAAUUCGAAUUCAGCAAAAAUUCGAUACGAAUAUAAUACGUACAAAAUUCGUUUUUAAAUUUUUAAAUUCGUUAAAAAUUUCGGCUUAAAAAAUAGAUUCAAUAUAGAAUAUAAAAUAUAAGAUAAUCUAUAUUUAAAUAUAAAAAUUAUAAGUUUUUUUUAUUCAGAUUUUUAAUAAUUCGCGAUUAUUCGGCUGCUCCAAAAAUUCGAGAAUAAUUUUUUUUUUUUUUGGUAAAAAUUCGUAAACAGACCGUUUAAUUUGAAUUUUUAAUAAUUCGUAAAUAAUUCGUCAAUAAUUCACAAAUUAAUUAACAAAGAUUGAGUUGAUGGAGAGAACAGUAACAUGUUGGCAGUAAAAGGAAAAGGUCGAAGAGUACGGGCUCUCUCACAACUAAAAUUACGGAAUAAGAUAUUAUUGGCGUGUAAGGUAUUGGGUCAUAUUUAUUAUAUUUGUAUUCAAACCUAAUACACGAAUGUCUUAUAUGAGAGGCAUGUUCAAACAUUUGGCUCGUUAUGUUCACACGAGCACAUUUAGAGGGCAACAAUUCGGAAAGUGUGUAGUCUCAAAAUAGGUGCACACUGGGGUAAAGAACUGACGAUCAUCGCUGUCACGUGAUGGGUAAUCUGGUUAGAACGUAAUAGAAGAAGUUUUCAAAAAUCAAAACAUACGCUGGGAUGUCUGUUGACGGAGAUCCGAGCAUUCAGAAUUUGUGGAAACGUUUUGGCAUUUACUCUUCUUUUUCUUUGUCUUUUUCUUUUCUUUUUUUCUUGAUGUCCAGACUGUCUUAAUCUAUAGCCGAAUUCAUUUUCUAAUUAAAUGAAAUGGUCGCAUGCUAUCUUUUCUUAAAAAAAUAUAUAUAGUUCUUCAUAUAAUGUAGGGUGUGGCAUAUGUUGCAAUUAGAAAAAAAAUAUG